rnacentral:rRNA from 1 species
GAUGAACGCUGGCGGCGUGCCUAAUACAUGCAAGUCGAGCGAACGGACGAGAAGCUUGCUUUUCUGAUGUUAGCGGCGGACGGGUGAGUAACACGUGGAUAACCUACCUAUAAGACUGGGAUAACUUCGGGAAACCGGAGCUAAUACCGGAUAAUAUUUUGAACCGCAUGGUUCAAAAGUGAAAGACGGUCUUGCUGUCACUUAUAGAUGGAUCCGCGCUGCAUUAGCUAGUUGGUAAGGUAACGGCUUACCAAGGCAACGAUGCAUAGCCGACCUGAGAGGGUGAUCGGCCAAACUGGAACUGAGACACGGUCCAGACUCCUAAGGGAGGCAACAGUAGGGAAUCUUCCGCAAUGGGCGAAAGCCUGACGGAGCAACGCCGCGUGAGUGAUGAAGGUCUUCGGAUCGUAAAACUCUGUUAUUAGGGAAGAACAUAUGUGUAAGUAACUGUGCACAUCUUGACGGUACCUAAUCAGAAAGCCACGGCUAGCUACGUG